UACAGAGGGGGCAAGCGUUGUUCGGAAUUAUUGGGCGUAAAGGGCGCGUAGGCGGUGCGGUAAGUCACUUGUGAAAUCUCUGGGCUCAACUCAGAGUCUGCAAGCGAAACUGCCGUGCUUGAGUGUCGGAGAGGUAAGUGGAAUUCCCGGUGUAGCGGUGAAAUGCGUAGAUAUUGGGAAGAACACCAGUGGCGAAGGCGGCUAACUGGUCCAGAUCUGACGCUGAGGUGCGAAAGCGUGGGGAGCAAACAGGG
rnacentral:rRNA from 1 species